AUUGAACGCUGGCGGCAGGCCUAACACAUGCAAGUCGAACGAGCGGCGGACGGGUGAGUAAUGUCUGGGAAACUGCCUGAUGGAGGGGGAUAACUACUGGAAACGGUAGCUAAUACCGCAUACUAUCAGAUGAACCCAGAUGGGAUUAGCUAGUUGGUGGGGUAAAGGCUCACCAAGGCGACGAUCCCUAGCUGGUCUGAGAGGAUGACCAGCCACACUGGAACUGAGACACGGUCCAGACUCCUACGGGAGGCAGCAGUGGGGAAUAUUGCACAAUGGGCGCAAGCCUGAUGCAGCCAUGCCGCGUGUAUGAAGAAGGCCUUCGGGUUGUAAAGUACUUUCAGCGGGGAGGCGUUACCCGCAGAAGAAGCACCGGCUAACUCCGUGCCAGCAGCCGCGGUAAUUC
rnacentral:rRNA from 1 species